UAAACUCAGAUGAGACUCCUCAUCAGUGUA
rnacentral:piRNA from 1 species